rnacentral:rRNA from 1 species
GAUUUUCGCAAUGCCCGAAAGGGUGACGAAGCGACGCCGCGUGGGUGAGGAAGGCCCUCGGGUUGUAAAGCCCUGUCAGGAGUUAAGAAAUGUAGAUACGCUAAUAUCGUAUCUAUUUGACAAAGGCUCCAAAGGAAGCCACGGCUAACUCUGUGCCAGCAGCCGCGGUAAUACAGAGGUGGCAAGCGUUGUUCGGAAUUAUUGGGCGUAAAGAGCACGUAGGUGGAUUUGUAAGUCAGAUGUGAAAGCCUUCUGUUCAACGGGAGAAUUGCAUCUGAAACUACAAACCUUGAGUAUAGGAGGGGAGAAUGGAACUUCUGGUGGAGCGGUGAAAUGCGUAGAUAUCAGAAGGAACGCCGGCGGCGAAAGCGAUUCUCUGGCCUAUUACUGACACUCAGUGUGCGAAAGCUAGGGGAGCAAACGGGAUUAGAUACCCCGGUAGUCCUAGCCGUAAACGAUGGGCACUAAGUAGAGGGG